UCAUACUCAGAAUUAUGGACACCUUGCCCAAUCUUUGAACCUGCAAUCCUAACCCUCACCAUUAGAGGACAAACUUGAAGGUUUUCAAUUGCAAAUCAAGUUUCAAUUUGACUUCAGUUUUGAAGUUGAAACUCCAAGUAUCCAAGUAUUUCCUUGAUCCAAUUCAACUUCUGCAAGCUUCUGAAGUCAAGCCAAGGCCAAUUGGAAGCAAGAUCAAGUAAGAUUCAAGCUCCCUCAAAGGUGAAUUUUCAGAAACUUCAUCUCUUCGAUUCUCUUCCAAUUCUUCACCAUUCUCUUUGAUUUUUGGUUGACUGAAGUCGUACCAAUGUAGGCAACAAGAUUGAGUUGCUUUGAGGUCAAAUCGAAGCAACUCAG
rnacentral:lncRNA from 1 species